GUAGAGAUGGCUCAGUGGUUAAGAGCACUGGCUGCUCUUCCAGAGGUCCUGAGUUCAAUUCCCAGCCACUACA
rnacentral:tRNA from 1 species